GAGCAUUGAGGAGAACAGUGCUUCCUAUGAUGCCGGGGUGCGUCACAACUGUCUGAUUAUCAGAUGAGCUCAGCGCUCCUGAGUUC